ACUCAAAUGAAUAGACGGGGACCCACACAAGCGGUGGAGCAUGGGGUUUAAUUCGAUAGUAAGCGAAGAACCUCACCUAGGCUUGACAUCUUUGGAAUCGACUGGAAACAGUUGAGUGCCGCAAGGAACCAAAAGACAGGCGCUGCACGGUUGUCGUCAGCUCGUGCCUUGAGGUGUACUGUUAAGUCAGCGAACGAGCGCAACCCUCAUCCUGUGUUGUUUUUUCACGGGAGACUGCCGCCUCCAAGGCGGAGGAAGGUGGGGAUGACGUCAAAUCAGCGUGGCCCUUAUGCCUAGGGCGACACCCGUGCUACAAUGGCCGGUACAAACCGCAGCAAACCCGCGAGGGGGAGCCAAUCGGAAAAAGCCGGUCUCAGUUCGGAUUGAAGUCUGCAACUCGACUUCAUGAAGUUGGAAUCGCUAGUAACCGUGAAUCAGCCAUGUCACGGUGAAUAAGUUCCUGGGUCUUGUACACACCGCCCGU
rnacentral:rRNA from 1 species